AACGUAGGAGACAAACGUUAUCCGGAGUUACUGGGCGUAAAGGGCGUGCAGGCGGUCGACUAAGUCUGGCGUGAAAGCUCUCGGCUAAACCGGGAGAGGUCGUUGGAUACUGGUUGACUAGAGGACGGUAGAGGCGUGUGGAAUUCCGGGUGUAGUGGUGAAAUGCGUAGAGAUCCGGAGGAACACCAGUGGCGAAGGCGACACGCUGGGCCGUACCUGACGCUGAUACGCGAAAGCAUGGGGAGCGAACAGG
rnacentral:rRNA from 1 species